CUGCAUAUUCAUCUCAUGACGCAGUUUCAUUUUAAAGUGGAGUUUGUACUUUCUGUUGUAAGGUACAAACACGUUGUACCGGCAGUUUUGCCAAACACUGCCAGUUCUUGUUUGUUGCACCUUUGAUUUACCUUUACAGUGAACACCUUACCAAAGUAUGGGAACCUGAAGGACUGAGUAAAGUUGGUGUCGUUCAGCGGUUUUAUAAAGGAUCAACCUUAUUGAAUCUUCAUUCGGGAAUACUGGCCUGAAUCGGAGAUAACCCCUGCAAGAUCAGGAAGGUUUGUGCAGUGUUCACCCUCCAGGAAAAGGUCAGUUCCUUUAAGCCGUUUUAUUUCCUUCAUCAUGAAUUCUUUGGACAAGGCAUCUCUCGGCUGGGAUCAGCAGUAAUGUCACGGCUUCGAAGAAAUCAGUUUUCUGGGAAGUUUCACCUUACUGACUGUAUAAAUCACUUGGAUUUUCGAAUUUACCACUUUAAGACUGUGUUCGAAUUUACCACUGGUGGGGUACAUCACACAGCAUCCACACAAACUAAUUACCCAGUUUGGCGGGGCCGAGGCUGUUUCCCUAGACGACAGCGAGCUGAACGACCCUGAGGCUGGCCAGAUAAAAGAACGAGAUGCUGAUUGGCUCAGAGUUUCUCCAAAAGCUUUUUCUCGUGAUUCAGAGAAUCAGUGAUGUUUUUUACUGAUUGGCUAGUAUUGCUGUUCAAAAUGACCAAGGAGAUGAAGAGAGAAGACACUGGAGAGAACUGGUCAUAGGAUUCGAUCCGGUGGGGGACCAGGCGCCAAGAUCGACUGAGGAUCAGAGAAUAUGAAUUUUGGAAAGAGUUGAGCUCCAACUAGUG